GACGAACGCUGGCGGCGCGCCUAACACAUGCAAGUUGAGCGACGAACCAGGGCUUGCCCUGGGGCAAAGCAGCGAACGGGUGAGUAACACGUGGGUAGCCUACCCCGAUAACCGGGACAACCCGAGGAGACUCGGGCUAAUACCGGAUGUGCUCACUGGACUUCGGUUCAGUGCGUAAAGGAAGCUUCGGCCUCCGUAUCGGGAGGGGCCCGCGGCCCAUUAGUUUGUUGGUGAGGUAACGGCUCACCAAGACCGCGAUGGGUAGCUGGUCUGAGAGGACGAGCAGCCAGACUGGGACGGAGACACGGCGCAGGCUCCUACGGGAGGCAGCGGUGGGGAAUCUUGCGCAAUGCGCGAAAGCGUGACGCAGCAACGCCGCGUGGGGGAAGAAGGCCUUCGGGUUGUAAACCCCUUUCAGGAGGGACGAAGGUUCGGCAGUUAACAGCUGUCCGGACUGACGGUACCUCCACAAGAAGCCCCGGCUAACUACGUGCCAGCCGCCGCCGUAA
rnacentral:rRNA from 1 species